rnacentral:rRNA from 1 species
AUUGAACGCUGGCGGCAGGCCUAACACAUGCAAGUCGAGAGGAGCGGCGGACGGGUGAGUAAUGCCUAGGAAUCUGCCUGGUAGUGGGGGAUAACGUCCGGAAACGGGCGCUAAUACCGCAUACUAUCAGAUGAGCCUAGGUCGGAUUAGCUAGAUGGUGGGGUAAAGGCCUACCAAGGCGAGGAUCCGGAACUGGUCUGAGAGGCGGAUCAGUCAAACGGUAACUGAGACACGGUUCAGACUCCUACGUUAGGCAGCAGUGGGGAAUAUUGGACAAUGGUCGAAAGCCUGAUCCAGCCAUGCCGCGUGUGUGAAGAAGUUCUUCGGAUUGUAAAGUACUUGAAGUUGGGAGGCGUUACCAACAGAAUAAGCACCGGCUAACCUCGUGCCAGCAGCCGCGGUAAUAC